AGAAAGUGAAGGCUGGCAACCUCAUAUGCUUCGUGUAUUGUGCAAGAAAUCUCCUCCAUACCCCCAUAUUAUUCGAGCAUUGGAACUGAAUGAUGUUCAUGUCCGUUCAGAUAUAAUGUGGCAAAAGGGUGAUGCAAAUCAGUUAAUAGUGCUCGGAUUAGAGGAAGGUACCCCGAGUCAACUUCUUUUAUCCGGAGAGUGGAAGAAAGACAUGAAUACCGUGGGGGAGAAUCUUCUCUGAGGGACUCUUUCCAUGUGAGGAUGCACCCAUAGUGAAUAUCUCUUGUUCUGGAGCAGAAACUAGGGGAAUUGAAUCACCUGAAGUGGGUGUGCUCGUUGAGGAAUCUGCGGAUGCUAGAAUGAAUACGUCCUCUUC